UGGGCACUCCGCCUGAGCCUGAUAUAUCAGGGAAUUUGUGGCCUUUUAUAAUGGGGUCACACGCAAGCCGAAGCACGACUAUACACAAAGUGCCCCGCAAUGAUUUUGAUGGGCAGGACACACUUAUUUCCCCGACCUCCGGCCCCGCACUCAAACCCACUGAGCACACAAGCACGCGCUCACACGAGCGGCUUAGCGCACGCGCCCUGGCUCCUCCCCUCCGUCAGCUUCUUCAGGCCCCGCCCCUCGAGCGCUAUUCUCCGGGACCCUUUCGAUCCCCUCGGCCUUUUCUCCCUGCCUUCACCUCUAAUUGGACGCCGGCCUCCACUGACAAUGUCCCCCGAAGACUUGAGCCCGCCUCCCUCCCAGCCCCGGCGCCGUGGGGGCGGGGCUGGGCGGGGCGUCGGCGCCCUAUUGUCAUGGAGACGGAAAGCUUGCGGCAGCGGUGGCGGGCUCAGCCGGGCAGAGGUGGCCGUGAGCCAGCCGAAGCUGAGGCCGGGCCGAGCGGCCAGGACGACCUAACGAGGAGGGGACGCGAGCCGGCGAGCGGCGGCUUCUCGGGCAGCCCAGGGGCGGCGUCCUGCCGGACGCAGCCAGGCCCGGGUGGUCGCAGGGAGCGCCUCGGGGCGCCCCGCCCUGCUGCCUUGCCCCCCCCCUACGGUCCCCCGCCUCUCUUGGCCCCUCGGCUCCCGAGCGACCGCCCCCGGCUCCGCCCGCCGCCGCCGUUCAGCCCCUCGCGGUAACGGUCGGUAGCGGCCCGCGCGCGCGCCGCCCGCCGGGGGCUCGCGUUGGCCACGAGGGAGCGUCCUCGGCCCGCGCUCCCGCGACGCGAAGGAAAGAAUCGUCUCCGUUUGCCGUGCAGGCGGUGAGUGUGGUGCUUCCGUAACACACUGGGAUGUUUUCAGCUGAGGUGACUGCUGACCCGUGGGCUUCCUCCAGGUGCUGGCUGCACGGCGCCCUUGCACACCCCUGGGCCCAUCUGCGAGCCUGAUCGACAUGGGGUUGCACGGAUGACCGAGAGCUGAAGUAUGACGACAAGUUAGAAAACGCGCGACACAAAUGUAAAGAACACGUUAAGCAACUCUGCCGUCCGCAACAGAGCUACCGCACUGGCUAUUGGAAGGAGGAGAUUCUGAAGAUAGGGAGGUCGGCCCGCUGCUUCCUUGGCAGCUGUUGCGGGGAGUCCCGUGGAAUGGAGAGCCCUGUGUGAUUCUGGAGGAUGUCCUUGAUAAUCCAUUCGCGGGCCGUUUCAUUUGCAAGAACCCCGUGUCGGUGAUAAAGACUGAGUCUGAGAUUCUUGAAGAACAAGUGUCAUGUUCAGUCUGUGCCCAUAAGAAAAGCUUCUGUCUUCUCAAACUGUGUUACCGCAUCGAGUGCGCAGGUUAAAUUGAAAACGUAAAAGCUUUUUGUAAAGGGCCAGUUAGCACCUCUAAAAAUGCUCAUGAAGGGUCACUUUGAGUCACGGUGUUUAUAUAUGUCUCACUUUUAAGGAAAAUGAUACACUUCUCUAGCCAUCGAAAAUAUCUACUCCCUGAGUUAUAUCUGUGGGAAGAUAUUAGCAGGACAAUAAAGGGCUUCGUGGUGUCUAAUUACAUAAUGAGGAAAUUGGUGAGCAAGGUGGUAACUCAAAUUAAUUUCUUCCACUAAAGGAGCUAGUGUACACUUGGAAACAAAGACCCUCGGGAAAUCCCCUUCAAUCUUUAAAUCAAACGCUGUGUUUGGUUAACACAACAGGAAGGGGAAAAUAUUACCAAUCUCAAAAGUUCUUUCCUUCACGCCCAGGUAGUGGUUGUAAGCAGCCGAGGAAAGCGUUACAAUGGGGCCGAGAAAAAAUGGUGAUACUGGAGUGAUUCCUUAGAAAGCAGUUUAGGUCUGCGAAGCAGUCCAGUAUUAGGACCUUGACCAACUUUUACACUUCAUGUGCUUGGUUUAUGGCUCCAGUGUGUAAAAUACCGGCCUCUGGAAUAGCUUCACGCAGAACGUAAGAGUCUUUUUGAAUUGGCUAACAGCCCUUGCUGGUCACCUUAAAAUAUGCUACGAUAUUACAAAGUUACAAUGUCAUAUUUAUUAAUAGAAGGAAAAUAUAAAAUUUAAUAUCUGGGCAACUGAGACCUUUCAACCUAUUUUAAAAGUAUAAUCUUGACAUCUAUGACACUAUUUUUGUCUUUGUUAUGUAGAUAGAAUUAUGGCUAUUCUACAUUUCAAAUGUAUUUAUUAAUUCCAAAUUCUAGUCUCCGUAUUGGGGCUUUUCCAAUAAAAGGUGUGUACGUGCUUCAGAGAGUGAAAUUUUGAGUCUCGGGCUGAUUUAUUAAGCCUUAGUACACAGAAAAACAGCCUUGAUUAAUUUAGGAGUCUGGAAGGGGGCAGGCAAAACCGUGUUGAGCUGAAAUUUCCUAAUGCAGCAACCAUUUAAAUUAAAUGUUUGUUAACAUAAUAGCAAUGGCAUUUUCUCCUCCUCCUCCUCCUCCUUGUGGUUUUGUCCAGCGCGGUGUCGCAGUGGCGGCCGUGCCGACUGCUAAGUGUUUAAAUGAUGACACCAUUCUGUGAAGUGAUUUUGAAAUGAGAGGUUCCAGCCAAGAAUUACGUCUGCCCCCACCUCCGCCACGUCCCCCUCUCUGGCAGUGAAGAUUAUGAUUGAUCUGUUUGUGACAGAUUGCAGGAAGCAGUCAUUGAUUUUUCAAUAUUUUACCUUAAAAUUAUUUACAGUUGUAACCAUGGGGAGGCAUUUCCACGGGCUGUCAGCCCCUGAAAGGCCAGGAUAAUAUUCCCUGCUCUCUGACAAGACAAAUUACCUGUAAUGAGCGCAGUAGCUGAAGGGUAUACUUUUAUUUUAAAAUAUGUCAAUAACCCCAGUGACUAAACGAAUAUUGAUUUAGCAUAAUGAAGCCUGAGUAAUGUGAAAAUGAGCUUUUUCAAGGGGCAUGGCAAAGACUUGCUUUUCGGCUGGUUGCAAGGAGCUUUUCAUUCUUUCCAGCCAGCUAGUGGAGAUAAAGAGUUUUAUAUGCAAAGCAGCAGGAAUGACGGUGGUGUUCCGGAGAACCGCGGUCCAAAUGUUUCGCCCUGGCUCUUAGCGAUUUCUUUUUGAAAUCUCGUGUGGACUCGUACUUGAGUGACGGGAUGGCUGCUGAUUUGCUCGAGCUGAUCUUUAACCCACAUAAUAUUUUUACAGCUUCCACAUAUUUUGCAUUAGACCUUCGGUCAUGAAUAUUAAAAUGUAACCAUACGCACAGUCCCUUGUAGGUGACAUAAUAAUUACCUUAAGACAUUUCAAAUGGGUUAUGGUAGUAGUUAAUGUGCCGUGUUUUAUGGUAGAAUAACUCCCAGUCCCCGGACAUCAGAUCCCUUUCAGGGGGGAUGAAGAUUGAUUUACUUAAGCCCUGAUAUUGUAGAUGCUGGUGUGUGUUUUUGUUUUUAUCAGACUUCUCCCCCUUUUAAAAAUGUCCUUCUCACCUUUUUGUGGAUGAAGAUCUCAACACAGAAGGUCUUUCACGCAGGGGUGACAGCAAAAAAGCAUAUAGCUUUGUUUCCUAGUCCGUCACGAAGCCUGAAGAUUUUAUGCCCGAACCAGUAUCUCCAUAUCUAGCUUGAUAAGGAGCAAUAGGGCAAACAACGGCAGUAACAUGUAGCAGAAAAGUAACUAUUUGAACAAGAUGUCAAACUGAUUAUUUCAUGGGAACCUAACAUGUUCUAUGAUAACUCAUAAUAAUAAAAUCUUAUUAAAAAGCAAUCGGUGGAAUCCCUUUAGAAAUUAAAUCGUAGUUGUCAUUUCAAGAAAGUUCAGAUGGCUCUUUGUGAGUGCAGUGCUGGCAUUAGGAAUGUUGCAAUAAAAUGAAACCCGUAAACAUACCUUUUCGUGGAACACGGGAUGGCCUCUAGCACAAAAAUUCACCGUUUUGUUUUGCCCCGGUACUUGCCUAAGGCCGGGACACAGAGGACUUCUGUCGCUUGCCUUCGUGGGGCCCCGCAGUGAGCCAGGCGGUUUAUAAAAGACCGGUUUCGUGGUUCUGGAUGCCGUGGGACCUCGACUCUACGUCGUCCUGCCCCCACGUCCUUUCCCUGUUCUAUGAAAGAGCCUUUGGAAAUAGAAACAGGAGGGACGCACCACCACCCUAGCAUAAAACUGGCGGUCCUCAUUCUCCAACCUUUACUUUGGUUUAUAAUUGUUUAAGUGGAUGUAGCGUCCACAGCACUUACCUAUGGAUAAGACAUUCGGCUAUGCCUUCCAGGAAAGAGAUUUUAAUAGGUUUUUUUUUUUUUUUAAAUAAAGCAUAGUUUCUUCCGACAAAUCUAUUCUAAGGAAAACAUCUGUAUUGUUGUGCUUAGUUUAUUUUGGAGUGAAAUAGUAAAUACAUUGUAUUGAGUGCCUCUUGACCUCAGCAUUCUUUUAAACCUGUGUGUUCAUUUUACAGUACCUGUGGAGGGCUAUUUAUGUGAAUUGCAUUUAAUAAAUGCGUAGAUACA